GCCUGGGUGGCUCAGUCGGUUGAGUGUCUGACUUUGGCUCAGGUCAUGAUCUCACAGUUCGUGAGCUCGAGCCCCACGUCAGGCU
rnacentral:tRNA from 1 species